rnacentral:rRNA from 1 species
GUCCUUUUGAAUAUUUAUUUAAGGUUUGACCUGCCCACUGAAAUUAUUUGAAGGGCCGCAGUAAUUUGACUGUGCAAAGGUAGCAUAAUCAUUAGUUUUUUAAUUGAAAGCUUGUAUGAAGGGUUGGACGAGGUAAAUUCUGUCUCUAUUUAAUUUAGUAUAAAAUUUAAUUUUUAAGUUAAAAAGCUUAAAUUUUUUUAAAAGACGAGAAGACCCUAUAGAUCUUUAUAUUAAAUUUAAUAAUUUUAAUUUAGAAUAUUUUAUUAAUUAUUAAUUUUAUUAUUUUAUUGGGGUAAUAAAAAGAUUAAAAUAAUUCUUUAUAAUUUUUUCAUUUAUUUAUGUUUAUAUGAUCCAAUAUUUUUGAUUAAAAGAUUAAGUUACCUUAGGGAUAACAGCGUAAUUUUUUUARAGAGUUCAUAUCGAUAAAAAAGUUUGCGA